GCGGAGCAGCCGCUGCCAUGGGCUCAGCCGGGGACCGCCGGGGUGAUGCUGCGGCCGGAGGAGCCCCCGCUGCCGGCGGCCGCGGCUCAGGAGAGGGGAGCGGAGCGCGGCGGCUAGCCCGCUGCCUGACCCCGCCACCGGGGUUAAAGAGCUCAGAUGUGAUACAUCAGAGACCCUGGAUGAGACCAUUCCCCUGAUUAGAGACAAGUGAUGGAAAUGAACCACAUAUGUGCCAAAGUGCAUAAACUAGAGGUGGUUGGGAAGUGGAAACAGGAAAAUAAAACUCUAAACAAAUACUGGUGCCAAAAGUAUGGUAAGAACUCCUUAGUACUUUUCCCCCCUCUGAUACAGGGAAAGGAAAAAAACCCAAACCUUCCUGAUCCCAUUCCCUUAGUACCGCUGUACAGACAUAGUAAUUUGGAAUAUGAAGAAAGCACCAGUCUUUGCUGGGCUAUAGGCACCUUGAAUAGUGCAGCAGAAUUCUAUUCAGAGGCUUUCUUGGUUAUCAAGGGGAGGGUAAUAUCUUGGUUGGCUUGGAGGCAAUUUUGCUCCUUAACAUUACCAGCUGUAAUCCAGGAAUCUGAGAAUACAAGAUUCAGUUGGCAAUUUGAGCAGUAGUUAAUGUUUUAAUUAGAACUUUUAAAUGUAAAGCUUAGCAUCCAUGGGGAUUUUCAAGGGAGAAAUUAACUUGUACUCUCAAGAGUAAGGAAGGAAAGAACUGUUGUGUAAUGGUUAUAUAGGAUGGGAAUCUGUUGGGGUUUAAUUGUGAUGUUGCCACUGGUACAUUUUGAGCAAUGAAUUUACCUGUUCAGCCUCACCUUCCCCAUGCCUAAAAUGGGCAGUGCUCAACCUCUCAAAAAAAAGGUGAAGCUUAGUCAUUAUUGGAGAGUCUUUGCAAACUGCUCUGUAUUGUAACAGAUAUAUACAGUGUUGUUUCUAGUUAGCUUUCCCUUAUGGCUCAAAUGUCAACUGAAACUGAAGACAUGUAUGUUUUAGGUCAAUAAUCCCUGACCUUUUUUUCAGCUAAAUCACUUGUUAUCAUUUGUUUUGCUGUCUACUUCCUCCUACCACUUUGGCCACUUUCUCAUU